rnacentral:lncRNA from 1 species
AUGAAAGAGGAGGGGGAAGAAGAAGAAGAAAGAAAGAAAGAAAGAAAGAAAGAAAGAAAGAAAGAAAGAAAGAAAGAAAGAAAGAAAGAAAGAAAGAAAGAAAGAAAGAAAGAAAGAAAGAAAGAAAGAAAGAAAGAAAGAAGAGAGAGAAAGAAAGAAAGAAAGAAAGAGAAAGAAGAGAGAGAGAGAAAGAAAGAAAGAAAGAAAGAAAGAAAGAAAGAAAGAAAGAAAGAAAGAAAGAAAGAAAGAAAGAAAGAAAGAAAGAAAGAAAGAAAAAAAAGAAAGAAAGAAAGAGAAAGAAAAAAGGAGGAAAGAAAGAAUGAAGGAAAGAGAAAGAAAGAAAGAAAGAAAGAAAGAAAGAAAGAAAGAAAGAAAGAAAGAAAGAAAGAAAGAAAGAAAGAAAGAAAGAAAGAAAGAAAGAAAGAAAGAGAAAGAAAGAGAAAGGAAGGAAGGAAGGAAGAGAAAGGAAGGAAGGAAGGAAGGAAGGAAGGAAGGAAGGAAGGAAGGAAGGAAGGAAGGAAGGAAGGAAGGAAGAGGUAACAUUCUCAAUUUAUUUUUCUAGUACUAAAUCUGUAGCUGUGUAUGAUAUUCCCUUGGUUCUACUCAUUUUGCUGUUCAUUAUGCCAAGUAGUUCUUUCCAAGUCUUAUUUUUAUUUACCUUGUUUAUUGUUUGUCAUGGUACAGUAGUAUUCUAUCACAAUCAUAUGGCACAAUUUGUUUAGCCGUCAAGUGUUGGUCAUACCUUAAUUUCCAGUUUUUUUAUAAAUUUUUCCACUACAUAGAGAUUUACUAUAAAUAUUUUGGAACAUAAAUGUUUUUUUUUCCUUUUUCCCUGAUCUCCUUGGGAAAUAGAUCUAGCAAUUUUUGCUGGGUUUAUGUAUACAGGAUUUUAUAACUCUGUAUAUAUGAGACCAGUUUUUUAAAACUGUGGGACUAAAGAAUCAUAGAAUUAGAACUUAAAGAAACUAUAGAGAUCAUUGAACACAGUUCUCUAAUUUAAUAGAUGAGAUGAAAAGUGAGGUCACACAGGUGAUAAGUAGAAAAACAAGAAUCUAAACCAAAUAUUUGGACUGUAUCUCACCUUUUUCAGAGGAUGAGAGUUAUCAAGAUCCUCUGGAAGUAGUCUACUGGGGAACACAGUGAGGAAAUAAAAGGAUAACAUGAGAGUGCA